UAAUGAAGUCAAUAAAUAAUCACUUAUUUCAAAAAAAAUUAAGUUUUGCCAAUGGACAGAAUUUUUUAGUAGGAAAUUUGAAAACAUGAGACGCUCUUGAUACAAGUGUUUUUGAAAAUGCAAGUCAAUGGAUAAACUUCAGCUCUUCAUUCAGAAAGAAAGCCUGUGGAAUAGGUUCACCCCACAUAUCACAUUCUUCAGAGAAAAGCAGAUCUCAUUUGAUAGUCACUCUCCUGCAUGUUUCUGCUCUAUAUGUUGAACACAUAUACAGCACUUUGCAGACUGAUGCUUUGAAAGAACAAAGGAUUGGAGGCUGAAUACACCUGGGUAUGCUGCUUUUCUUCAAAGAACACAUUUGGAUAAGUGAUUUAAAAAAAUUAAAAGUAUCAAAAACAACAGCAACAACAGCAACACCCAUCAUGAUGCCAGAUUAAAGCCAGGAAAGAAUGCUGACCCAAAGUCUGGAGAGUUGGUUCCAUGUUCUAUGUAAAUGAGUUGCUGGGCCUUUGGAUGGUUCUGGAAGCAAUUAUCAACCCGCCACCCACCUGGAAGUUCUGCAGGUGUGUCAUACACACAGGCCCUGACAUUUUCAGCCAGGCUUCAACACUCAUCUUGGGCACUGUUUUAGAACAAUUGAUGAGCCCCUGUAGCAGCAGACUUCUAAGGUGAGAAAGUCCUGAGAUGUGGGCAGAAAGGGAGCCUGGGAGUCCCUGCAGUUGGAAAUAAAAAAGAAUCGAGGUUUCUAGACACUCGAUUUGAACUCUAUUAAAUGAAACACAGGCCCUUUGAGAGAGGUGUUUGUUCUGGAUUCAGCUGUGUUCUGUUCAGAGAAUGGCCUGUGGGGACAGAUCUGUCACAGGCAUGCAGGUGUCUAGUUUAAGACGGAGGACUCCCUCCAGCCUGUUUGUGAGCCAGCCAAUAUUGUAAUUGAAGGUGAGCCUGACCUCAGUCCUCCUGGCUCUGAGGAGAAUGCCACUCGGCCUGGCCUUUGAGUGAGCUCAUGAACAACAGUGUCUGCCUUCCAGAAUACAAACAGUGCUUGCUCCAUUGUAGCCCCUUCUACUUGGCCCCAUGGGGACUAUGGAAUAAUGUCAGUGGUCCCCACAUAAUGUGCAUCAAUAAGCAAACAAUAAACAAAAAUACUAGUUCACAUAGACUUGCUGCCUGUCUUUCCAAGUGGUGACCUGUUUCAUCUUGAGAGAGUUCUAUCAUGCAGAAAUUCUUUAUAUAUUUAAUAGUAAGAUACUACAGAAGGCAAUUCAUUAAGGG
rnacentral:lncRNA from 1 species